rnacentral:rRNA from 1 species
AUGAAUUUAAUUCCGAAAAUCUCUACUGUCAAAGGCUCUAAGUGCCAAGUAUGUGUGCAAGCUAAACAACCUCGCAAGUCCCAUAAGACUGCAGAGGCAAGAGACUUGGCGCCACUAGAGCUUAUACAUUCUGAUCUUUGUGAGAUGAAUGGCGUGUUGACAAAAGGUGGAAAAAGAUACUUCAUGACGUUGAUUGAUGACUCCACUAGAUAUUGUUAUGUGUAUCUUCUGAAAUCAAAAGAUGAGGCUUUAACUUUCUUCAAAAUCUAUAAAGCUGAGGUAGAGAACCAACUUGAUCGAAAAAUUAAACGGCUUCGGUCCGAUCAUGGUGGAGAGUAUUUUUCCAAUGAAUUUGAUCUGUUUUGUGCGGAACAUGGUAUAAUCCAUGAGAGGAAGCCUCCCUACUCACCUCAGUCUAAUGGGGAGGCCGAAAGAAAGAACCAAACUCUAACUGAUUUGGUUAACGCCAUGUUAGACACAUCGGGUCUUUCCAAGGAAUGGUGGGGGAAGGCUCUAAUGACCACGUGUCAUGUCCUAAACCGAGUUCCCACAAAGCAUAAGACCAUGACUCCAUUUGAGGAAUGGGAAAGGAAAAGGUUGAAACUCUCUUACCUACGUUCUUGGGGUUGUUUGGCGAAAGUCAAUAUACCAAUUCCCAAGAAGCGCAAGCUUGGACCAAAAACUGUGGAUUGUGUUCUUUUGGGCUAUGCUUUUCAUAGCAUUGGCUAUAGAUUUUUGAUAAUAAAAUCUAAGGUAUCCGACAUGCAUGUUGGUACGAUUAUGGAGUCUAAUGAUGCAACUUUCUUUGAGGACAUAUUUCCUAUGAAGGAUAUGUCAAGUUCAUCAAAUCAGGAGAUACCUACUUCAUCUAGUGAGGAAGUCACUGUAAUUCCUGAACCCACCAUUGCGACGGAACACGUUGAGAAUCUUGUUGAGGGUCACAAUGAAACUCCUGUAAGGAGUAAGAGACAGAGGACUGCAAAGUCCUUUGGUGAUGAUUUCAUUGUGUACCUUGUGGAUGACACACCCAGGACUAUUUCAGAAGCCUAUGCAUCUCCUGAUGCUGACUACUGGAAGGAAGCUGUUCGUAGCGAGAUGGAUUCCAUCUUAGCUAACGGGACCUGGGAGAUCGCUAGCCGUCCUUAUGGGUGCAAACCUGUAGGAUGUACGUGGGUGUUCAAGAAGAAGCUUAGACCUGAUGGUACGAUUGAAAAGUACAAGGCACGGCUUGUGGCUAAGGGUUAUACCCAGAAAGGAGGUGAAGACUUCUUUGAUACUUACUCACCCGUGGCUAGACUGACCACAAUUCGGGUGCUACUAUCACUGGCUGCCUCACAUGGUCUUCUCGUUCAUCAAAUGGACGUUAAGACGGCUUUCCUCAAUGGAGAGUUGAAGGACGAAAUUUACAUGGAUCAGCAAGAUGGUUUUGUAGUACCUGGUCAGGAAGGAAAGAUGUGCAAGUUGUUAAAGUCUUUAUAUGGCCUUAAACAAGCUCAUAAGGAGUGGCAUGAGAAGUUCGAAAGAACAUUAACUGCUGCUGGCUUUGUAGUAAAUGAUGGUGACAAGUGUGUGUACUAUCGCCAUGGUGGGGGCGAAGGAGUUAUUCUUUGUCUGUAUGUCGACGACAUAUUGAUCUUUGGAACCAAACUUGAUUUAAUCAAGGAGGUUAAGGAUUUCUUAUCUCGUUGUUUUGAGAUGAAGGAUCUAGGAGUAGCUGAUGUUAUCUUAAACAUCAAGCUGUUGAGAGCUGAGAAUGGUGGGAUCACACUGCUUCAGUCUCACUAUGUGGAAAAGGUCUGGAGUCGUUUUGGGUAUAGCGACUGCACGCCUUCUCCAACUCCAUAUGAUGCUAGUGUGUUGCUUCGAAAGAAUCGACGGAUUGCUAGAGAUCAACUGAGGUAUUCUCAGAUUAUUGACUCGCUUAUGUAUUUGGCGAGUGCCACGAGGCCUGACAUCUCUUUUGCUGUGAGCAAGCUAAGUCGGUUUGUGUCAAAACCGGGAGAUGAUCAUUGGCGUGCGCUCGCGAGAGUUAUGCGCUACUUGAAGGGCACUGCGAGUUACGGGAUUCACUACACCGGGUAUCCAAGGGUACUGGAGCGUUAUACUGACUCGAACUGGAUAUCUGAUGCUGAUGAAAUUAAGGCCACAAGUGGUUAUGUUUUUACGCUUGGUGGUGGCGCUGUUUCCUGA